GCCAGCACUUGUCUUAACCUCUUGAAAUAAAUAACAGUGGUAAAAGUACAGAAGCGGAAAAUUAACUGCCGUGUGCUGCCGUGCAAUAGAAAAACGUUUUCAUUGUUGGAAUAGGGUCAGUUUGCAAAUUUUUGACUAACACUUGUCUUUCUUAAACCCCUCCAGUAUUGCAAGAGAGAGUCAAAGAUGGAACCAUUAGUUUGUGGGCUGUGCCACUUGACCCCAGUAAACCUGAGGCAGCAUUUACUGGUCGGCCACAUGGUGGCAAACAGGCAGGAGCUGAAGCUCCUGCUGAUGUACAGCGGUGGACGUACAACAGAUCGCCUGGAGUGCGAGCUGUGCGGCGAGAGGGACCUCG